rnacentral:rRNA from 1 species
UACGUAGGGGGCUAGCGUUGCUCGGAAUCACUGGGCGUAAAGCGCACGUAGGCGGACUUUUAAGUCGGUGGUGAAAUCCUGGAGCUCAACUCCAGAACUGCCUUCGAUACUGAGAGUCUCGAGUCCGGGAGAGGUGAGUGGAACUGCGAGUGUAGAGGUGAAAUUCGUAGAUAUUCGCAAGAACACCAGUGGCGAAGGCGGCUCACUGGCCCGGUACUGACGCUGAGGUGCGAAAGCGUGGGGAGCAAACAGG